UAAAGACUUAGGAUAAACAAACCAAGAGCCUUCAAAGCUCCAAACAAGGGUGCAACCCCCUUAGUUUUU
rnacentral:tRNA from 1 species